GACGAACGCUGGCGGUAUGCUUAACACAUGCAAGUCGAACGAGAAGAUUAUGAUUGAGCCUUCGGGUGAGAGAAUAAUUGGAAAGUGGCGAACGGGUGAGUAACGCGUGGGUAACCUGCCCUAUGGAAAGGAAUAGCCUCGGGAAACUGGGAGUAAUGCCUUAUGAAAUAGAGAAGUCGCAUGGCUUUUCUAUCAAACGCUCCGGUGCCAUAGGAUGGACCCGCGUCCCAUUAGCUAGUUGGUGAGAUAACAGCUCACCAAGGCGACGAUGGGUAGCCGGCCUGAGAGGGCGAACGGCCACACUGGGACUGAGACACGGCCCAGACUCCUACGGGAGGCAGCAGUGGGGAAUAUUGCGCAAUGGGGGAAACCCUGACGCAGCAACGCCGCGUGAAUGAUGAAGGUCUUCGGAUCGUAAAGUUCUGUCGAAGGGGAAGAAAGAAAUGACGGUACCCUUAGAGGAAGCCCCGGCUAACUACGUGCCAGCAGCCGCGGUAAUACGUAGGGGGCAAGCGUUGUCCGGAAUUACUGGGCGUAAAGGGCGUGUAGGCGGUUUUUUAAGUCAGAUGUGAAAGUUCGGGGCUUAACCCCGGAAUUGCAUUUGAAACUGGAGAACUUGAGUACUGGAGAGGUAAGUGGAAUUCCUAGUGUAGCGGUGAAAUGCGUAGAUAUUAGGAGGAACACCGGUGGCGAAGGCGGCUUGCUGGACAAAUACUGACGCUGAGGUGCGAAAGCGUGGGGAGCAAACA
rnacentral:rRNA from 1 species